rnacentral:rRNA from 1 species
AUUAAAGGAAAUAAGAGCGCACAGUGGAUGCCUAGGCACCAAGAGCUGAUGAAGGACGCAAUUAACGGCGAUACGCUACGGGGAGCUGUAAAUAAGUGUAGAUCCGUGGAUUUCCGAAUGGGGCAACCUACUAUAAGAAGUUAUAGUAUCAAUUGUUAGGCAACUAACUGAUUGAAAGGAACGCAGUGAACUGAAAUAUCUAAGUAACUGCAGGAACAGAAAGUAAUAACGAUUCCGGUAGUAGUGACGAGCGAAUCCGGAACAGCCGGAUACCAAUAACUAGUUACCAAAUUUUAAUUAACUCGAAAUAGUUGGAAAGCUAUAUCCCAGAAGGUGAAAAUCCUGUAGAGGUAAGUUAAAAUCUAGGGUAUCCUCAAGUACGGCGAGACACGAGAAAUCUUGUUGGAAGAUAGGAGGACCAUCUCCUAAGGCUAAAUACUCCUUGGUGACCGAUAGUGAACUAGUACCGUGAGGGAAAGGUGAAAAGAACCCCGGAAGGGGAGUGAAAUAGAUCCUGAAACUGUGUGCUUACAAGUAGUCAAAGCUCGUUUAAGAGUGAUGGCGUGCCUUUUGCAGAAUGAACCGGCGAGUUAUGAUAUAGAGCAAGGUUAAGUUUGAAGGAACGUAGCCGUAGCGAAAGCGAGUCUGAAUAGGGCGUUUAGUUGUAUGUCAUAGACCCGAAACUGAAGUGAGCUAGCCAUGAACAGGCUGAAGUGACGUGACCACGUCAUGGAGGGCCGAACCAGGACACGUUGAAAAGUGUUUGGAUGAUUUGUGGCUAGAGGUGAAAUUCCAAUCGAACUCAGAGAUAGCUGGUUCUCCCCGAAAUAGCUUUAGGGCUAGCGUUGGGUAUUUAAUAGUUCUUGAAGGUAGAGCACUAAAUGAGUGCGGGCUCCACCUCGGGGUACCAAUCUCAAUUAAACUCCGAAUGUCAAGAACCGUAUCCCAGCAGUCAGACGAUGGGUGAUAAGGUCCAUGGUCAAAAGGGAAAGAGCCCAGACCGUCAGCUAAGGUCCCUAAAUUAAUGUUAAGUGGUUAAGGAAGUAAAAACGUUAAAACAAUUAGGAAGUUGGCUUAGAAGCAGCCAUCUUUUAAAGAGUGCGUAAUAGCUCACUAAUCUAAUAUUUUUGCACCGAAAAUGUAACGGGGCUAAACAUUAUACCGAAGCUACGGAUAUGUUCCGGCUAGUAAUAGCUAAGGAACAUGUGGUAGGGGAAGCGUUCUAACAUCGUAGAAGCUAUAGCGGAAGCAGUAGUGGAGAGGUUAGAAGUGAGAAUGCCGGUGUAAGUAACGAAAAGAUAGAUGAGAAUUCUAUCCGUCGAAAACCCAAGGUUUCCAGGGGCAGGGUCGUCCGCCCUGGGUUAGUCAGGAACUAAGGCGAGGCAGCAAUGCGUAGUCGAUGACCAGCAGGCUAAAAUUCCUGCACUAAAAAAAUCACUGAUGGAGGGACAAAAGAGGAUAAGCACGCCCUUUAUUGGAUUAGGGUCGAAAAAUCGAGUUUGAGAAGAUAGGCAAAUCCGUCUUCUUACUUGCCAAAAAAUGAGAUUUGAGGGUAACGUGACUGUGUUCAUAUUUUCUAGAAAAGCUUCUAGGGUUAAUGAUUUUUUUACCUGUACCGUAAACCGACACAGGUGGGAAGGUAGAGUAUACUAAGACGCGCGAGAAAACUCUUGUUAAGGAACUCGGCAAAAUGACUCCGUAACUUCGGGAUAAGGAGAGCUUUUAUGAUAAAAAGUAAAAGCCGCAGAGAAUAGGCCCAAGCGACUGUUUAUCAAAAACACAGGUCUCUGCUAAACCGUAAGGUGAUGUAUAGGGGCUGAUGCCUGCCCGGUGCUGGAAGAUUAAGAGGAGAUGUUCGGGCUUGCCCAAAGCAUUGAAUUGAAGUCCCAGUGAACGGCGGCCGUAACUAUAACGGUCCUAAGGUAGCGAAAUUCCUUGUCGGGUAAAUUCCGACCUGCACGAAAGGCAUAACGAUUUGGGCGCUGUCUCAACAAGAGUCUCGGUGAAAUCAAAUUACCGGUGAAAAUGCCGGUUACCCGCGACAGGACGAAAAGACCCCAUGGAGCUUUACUGUAGCUUAAUAUUGGAAUUGGAAAUCUCAUGUACAGGAUAGGUGGGAGACAGAGAACUUUAGACGCUAGUUUAAAGGGAGUCACCGGUGGGAUACCACUCUUGAGAUUUUUAGUUUCUAACCUGCAUAAGUGGAUUAUGAGGGACAGUGUUUGGUGGGCAGUUUGACUGGGGCGGUCGCCUCCUAAAAAGUAACGGAGGCGUUCAAAGGUUCCCUCAAAAUGGUCAGAAAUCAUUUUUAGAGCGUAAAGGUAUAAGGGAGCUUGACUGUGAGACCUACAAGUCGAGCAGGGACGAAAGUCGGACUUAGUGAUCUUGCGGU